UCACAGCCAAAAUCUGGGUUAGAUGUUUUAAUUUCAUCUCAUACAGGUGCACUGGAUGCUGCUGCUGUAAACAUACAGCAAUUGGAAGAAACAGUCAAGGAGCUGAUGAGAGCUGUCACAGCUGAAAGUGGUUCAAGUGCAUUUUCACAGAUUCUGUGUCUCAGACGCGGACAUCCUUUUUUACACCAGAUUCACCUCAAGAGAUGUUUUUUGUGACUUCUGGGAGGUUAUUCAACCAUCUGCCUCCAUGUUGGUUUAUUGGUCGAAAGCUCAGAAAAAGAAACAAACAUUUGAACCCAUUUCUCCCAGUCCAACGUGUAGACUGCAACUGGUUGAGUUUUUUCUCUUCUGCUGCCGGGUUGCUGCAGGCCUGCAAGAGAAGGUGCUGGCUGACAUGUUUCAGUGCUGUGACUUUUGUGUCAAGUCUCUUCACCGGCUCCAUCUCCGACCCAGAGCUGACUGAACGAAAUGGACUGCUGGAUUUACUGGAGCCAGGAGAUGGCUGCAUGGCAGACAAGGGUUUCACCAUCGAGAAGCCACUAGCUGAUCGUGGGGCAACGCUGAUUAUACCACCCUUCAAGAUGACAGUUCACUGAAGAGGAUGCUCU